rnacentral:tRNA from 1 species
GGAGAGUAGGUAAAUACUGGUUUGUUACGCUUGCCUGCUAAGCUAGUUCACUGCAAAGUGGUGAAGGUUCGAUUCCUUUGCUCUCCGC